rnacentral:misc_RNA from 1 species
AAUUCUCAACCUUGCAAGCUUUUUUGCUAGUGAGGCUUGGAUGUGAGGGCUUUUGCUGGCUUCCUUCAUUGGAUGGUCUGCUCCCUUUAAAUUCAUUAGUGGAUUCCUUUGUGGAUGGUCACUUGGUGUGAUAAUUAUCUACGCCGCCUGACUCCAAUCUAUAUUGACA